rnacentral:rRNA from 1 species
AUGAAACUUACCUUCAAAUUUUUAUUAUAUUCGUAAAAAAUAAUUACGUGAUAGGCUUAUAAUGUAAUAAUUGUAAAAUUUUUAGUUUUAAGUACUAAAAUUAAUAACUUUAAAUAUAGAUUUUAGUUUAAAUAAAAAUAAAUAAAGUUUGUAUUUAUUUAUUAAACUUGAGUUUGAUCCUGGCUCAGAAUGAACACUUGUAAUAUGCUUUACACAUGCGAGUAAUGCGCAAACGGGUGAGUAAUAAUAAAAUUUUUCCUUUAUUUAUUAAAGAUAAAUUUAUACAAGAUUAGGUAGUAGGUAAUGAAAGAUUACCCAGCCUAUGAUCUUUAGUUGGUCUAAGAGGAUGAUCAACCACAUUGGAACUGAAACAAGGUCCAAGCUUUUUAUAGCCAGCAGUGAGGAAUAUUGGACAAUGAACACAAGUUUGAUCCAGCAAUAUUACAUAGAUGAUGACGGCUAAUUUGGUUGUAAAAUCUAAAUAAUAAAAACUAUAAUGAAGUUUUAAAAAAAGUCCCGGCUAAUCUCGUGCCAGCAGCCGCGGUAAUACGGGAGGGGCUAGUGUUAUUCAAAAUUAUUGGGCGUAAAGGGUUUGUAGAUGGUAUUAUAAAUUAAUUUUUAAAAAAUAAAGCUUAACUUUAUUUUUAAAAUUAAAACUGUUAUACUAGAAUUUUAAUUAGAAAAAUAGAACUUUAUAAGUAAAGAUAAAAUUUUUAGAUUUAUAAAAGAAUCUCAAAAGCGAAAGCUAUUUUUUAAAUUUAAAUUAACAUUGAGAAACGAAAGUAUAGGGAGCAAAUAGGAUUAGAUACCCUAGUAGUCUAUACUGUAAACACUGAAUACUAAAAUUUAAUAAAAUUAGAUUUUUAAGUUAACACAAUAAGUAUUCCGCCUAAAGAGUACGAUUGCAAGAUUGGAAUUUAAAGGAAUUGACGGGAACCUAUUACAAGUGGUGGAGCAUGUGGUUUAAUGCGAUAAUACGCGCGUAAUCUUACCAGUUUUUGAAUAAAAAAUUUAUUUUUUUUACAGGUGUUGCACGACUGUCGUCAGCUCAUGUUGUAAAAUUUUUGGUUUACUCCUUUAACGAGCGUAACUUUUAUCUUUUUUAACAAAAAAUGUAAUAAAGAAAUUAUAAACAAAAAGUUUAAAGAAUAAAAAUAACGUCAAGUCCCUGUGACCCUAAUAAACUGGGCUAUACAUGUGCUACAAUGAAAAUUACAACAAGAAACUUUUAGUUAACCUUUAAAAAUUUUCUUAGUUCGGAUUGUAAAUUGAAACUCAUUUACAUGAAGUUGGAAUCACUAGUAAUCGCAAAUUAGAACGUUGCGGUGAAUAUUAAAUUGGUUUUGUACACACCGCCCGUCACAUGCAGGAAGUUAUUUUUUUUCGAAGUUUGAAAAAACAAUUAAAAAAGUAAUAACGUGGAUGAAGUCGUAACAAGGUAGCUGUACGGGAACGUGUAGCUGGAAUUUUAAUGAAAU